AGUGAACGCUGGCGGUAGGCCUAACACAUGCAAGUCGAACGGCAGCACAGUAAGAGCUUGCUCUUACGGGUGGCGAGUGGCGGACGGGUGAGGAAUACAUCGGAAUCUACUUUUUCGUGGGGGAUAACGUAGGGAAACUGACGCUAAUACCGCAUACGACCUACGGGUUAAAGUAGUGGAUCUUCGGACCUUGCGCGAUUGAAUGAGCCGAUGUCGGAUUAGCUAGUUGGCGGGGUAAGGGCACACCAAGGCGACGAUCCGUAGCUGGUCUGAGAGGAUGAUCAGCCACACUGGAACUGAGACACGGUCCAGACUCCUACGGGAGGCAGCAGUGGGGAAUAUUGGACAAUGGGCGAAAGCCUGAUCCAGCCAUACCGCGUGGGUGAAGAAGGCCUUCGGGUCGUAAAGCCCUUUUGUUGGGAAAGAAAAGCAGCAGGUUAAUCCCCCGCUGUUCUGACGGUACCCAAAGAAUAAGCACCGGCUAACUUCGUG
rnacentral:rRNA from 1 species